AUCUGUUGAUGAUGAUUUAAAGAAAUAAUGGGAAUCUCUCUGAGAAAGAGUGAAAGAUUAAUUUGAUCUGAUACAGUG